rfam:Enterococcus sp. 2G9_DIV0600 scaffold00001, whole genome shotgun sequence.
UGCGACGAGUCGAGAAGGUCUAGCAUUAGCUGACCAGAUUGAUAGCAGAGGCACACCGCGUAAGCAACCUACCGGAUUUGUAGGGUGUCGGAAUAUUCCUUUUGUGGAGAU